UGGGGAAUAUUGCACAAUGGGCGCAAGCCUGAUGCAGCCAUGCCGCGUGUAUGAAGAAGGCCUUCGGGUUGUAAAGUACUUUCAGUCGGGAGGAAGGUGGUAAGGUUAAUAACCUUAUCAAUUGACGUUACCGACAGAAGAAGCACCGGCUAACUCCGUGCCAGCAGCCGCGGUAAUACGGAGGGUGCAAGCGUUAAUCGGAAUUACUGGGCGUAAAGCGCACGCAGGCGGUUGAUUGAGUCAGAUGUGAAAUCCCCGGGCUUAACCCGGGAAUUGCAUCUGAUACUGGUCAGCUAGAGUCUUGUAGAGGGGGGUAGAAUUCCAUGUGUAGCGGUGAAAUGCGUAGAGAUGUGGAGGAAGACCGGUGGCGAAGGCGGCCCCCUGGACAAAGACUGACGCUCAGGUGCGAAAGCGUGGGGAGCAAACAGG
rnacentral:rRNA from 1 species